GUAAAGCGUGCGUAGGUGGCCAAUUAAGUCAAAUGUGAAAUCCCCGAGCUUAACUUGGGAAUUGCAUUCGAUACUGGUUGGCUAGAGUAUGGGAGAGGAUGGUAGAAUUCCAGGUGUAGCGGUGAAAUGCGUAGAGAUCUGGAGGAAUACCGAUGGCGAAGGCAGCCAUCUGGCCUAAUACUGACACUGAGGUACGAAAGCAUGGGGAGCAAACAGGAUUAGAUACCCUGGUAGUCCAUGCCGUAAACGAUGUCUACUAGCCGUUGGGGUCUUUGAGACUUUAGUGGCGCAGCUAACGCGAUAAGUAGACCGCCUGGGGAGUACGGUCGCAAGACUAAGACUCAAAUGAAUUGACGGGGGCCCGCACAAGCGGUGGAGCAUGUGGUUUAAUUCGAUGCAACGCGAAGAACCUUACCUGGUCUUGACAUAGUAAGAACUUUCCAGAGAUGGAUUGGUGCCUUCGGGAGCUUACAUACAGGUGCUGCAUGGCUGUCGUCAGCUCGUGUCGUGAGAUGUUGGGUUAAGUCCCGCAACGAGCGCAACCCUUUUCCUUAUUUGCCAGCGGGUUAAGCCGGGAACUUUAAGGAUACUGCCAGUGACAAACUGGAGGAAGGCGGGGACGACGUCAAGUCAUCAUGGCCCUUACGACCAGGGCUACACACGUGCUACAAUGGUCGGUACAAAGGGUUGCUACCUAGCGAUAGGAUGCUAAUCUCAAAAAGCCGAUCGUAGUCCGGAUUGGAGUCUGCAACUCGACUCCAUGAAGUCGGAAUCGCUAGUAAU
rnacentral:rRNA from 1 species